GUGGAGUCUGUUAUGUCUUUGUCAAUUGAUCUAUUCUUGGUACAACAGCGACAACAUGAAUUUGUUCCAUCUUCUUGCUCUAUUAAAAUAUUUAAGGAAAAUUAUAUUAAUG